UUGGGCCUUAGGCCCAAACAGCCAAAACUCAAAGCACACAAAGUACCGAGUCCUCCCUUUUUCCCGUAAGCUGAAGCAGAAAUGGAGAAAAACGCUUCUCCGGAAAAGCUUAUGCAACGCGCGGUUCGUUCUUCACUUCGGCGCCCCUUCACCAUCAUCAUUUGCGUUCAUGUCGCUUUGGUCCAAACAAGAAGAAAAGAUCGAAUUCAAUAGUGUGUUCGUUCUCACAGCCUCGCGUUCAUCAAUCGCGGUUCAGAGAUUCGCGAUUCGCGUCGUUCAAUCAUAACCACGGUUCAAAGACUCACGGAUUCUCAUCGUCAAUUCACUCACUUCAUUAUCGUGCGCGCAAACAAAAGGAAAACGGUGUCGAAAUCGGAUCAAAAAACUCACCGGAUUGAAGCUCCGGUUGUAAACAGGUUAAAUCCGACUGGCUGUUAGUUGUUGUUACUGGGUGUGAAGUAGUCAUGGUUAUUGGUGAGUGCUUGGAAUGUUUGUACAGGCUGCUUGGAUAGGUCAUGAUAAAGUGCACCGUUGCGGAUCUGCUGCGGUGUAACAUAUGAAGUCGUGGUGCUAACCGAGUCUUAUGUUGCUGCUGGUUUGCGAUCGAUGUUUGGUCUUGCAGCCACCCGUGUUUCCAUUGUCGUAGCUUUUAACACUUCUCUUCAAAUUCUGUUGAGCGGUGAGGUAGAGUGUGGGUUUGCAUUGUGUAUUGAUUUGUAAUGGGGAUUAGGCUAUUGGAAACUUUGAAUUUGUGUGUUAAAUGUUGAAUUCAAAUUGUGUAUCAAAUAGGAAUGGUAUGGAAAUGUUUGAAAUUGAUUGGAAUUUAAAAUUGUUGUAAUUUUGCAAUUGAAUUGUACUGGAUAUUGUAACUUGGUUUCGAAUUUGAAUGGUUGAAUAUUGUAAUUUGAAAACAA